rnacentral:rRNA from 1 species
CUUAACGUUGGAGGUACCCGUACCGCAAACGGACACACGUAGUCGGGUUGAAUAUACUAAGGCGCUUGGGUGAAUCACGGUUAAGGAACUAGGCAAAUUGACCCUGUAACUUCGGAAUAAAGGGUCCCUCCUCGCAAGAGAGGGCGCAGAGAAUAGGUCCAGGCAACUGUUUAACAAAAACACAGGGCUGUGCUAAUAUGAAAGUAGAUGUAUACAGCCUGACACCUGCCCGGUGCUGGAAGGUUAAGAGGAGAUGUCAUCUUUGGGAGAAGCAUUGAAUUGAAGCCCCAGUAAACGGCGGCCGUAACUAUAACGGUCCUAAGGUAGCGAAAUUCCUUGUCGGGUAAGUUCCGACCUGCACGAAUGGUGUAAUGAUCCGGACACUGUCUCAACCGUGAGCCCAGUGAAAUUGUAGUAUCGGUGAAGAUGCCGAUUACCCGCGAUGGGACGAAAAGACCCCGUGAACCUUUACUAUAGCUUAGCAUUGAAUUUGGGCACGCGAUGUGUAGGAUAGGUCGGAGGCUU